AAAUUCGCAAUGAAGAGAAGAGUAGAUAUGUUAAAACGGCAAAGAGAGCUCCGGUGGGUGAGAAGGAGUGCGGAGGAAUAUAUCGAAGAUGGUCUCUGAGCACGGUGUAUCGAAUAAUAAGAUAGCCCGGGUGUUCCCGUUAUAGAGCUGCGGUAUCAAGGUUUAUCCGGCGUACCUACAGAGAUUUGUAUGGUGACAUGCAAAUGAAAUUGGGUGGUAACACGAUCUUUCGUCCCAUGG
rnacentral:ncRNA from 1 species